GUGUUUUUCUUUUUUCCUUUUUUGUUUGUUUUUUUGGAAGAGCGGAAAUCCCGACAAACGCAAAGUCUCUUCUGAUGCACAAUAAAAGACUCCCAAUUUACAGACUAGAACACGGAAAACGUUUGAACCCAGCUGAGAUGACAGGAGAUGGGAAUUGUUGAGGCAGACGAGUUUGCAGAGGUUAGAGCCCUGGCUAUUGAUUCUGCUGGCUGUCAGUGCUGAUGCGGGAAAGAAGCGUCCACUUGAUGAAUGGUGUGUAAUUGAUAGUCCCUACGAUCCAAUAAAUGCUCGCCGAUAGCCUGCAGACUUCCAGACAGAAGGGGAAGGCGAGCCAUCAGAGAGGAAGCAAAUUACGCACAGCGGCCAAAGCGAGCGUUUCAGGCUGUUUCAAGUGGAGCCAGACUGCGGCGCAAUGCCAAGUCUCCCCCCCGAAUCCCUACGGCCUCUUCCAGAAGCCCCCCUCUCUUCUCCCUCCACCUCCCCAGGCCUAGUGCUUAUGCUAUGGGCCAAGAGUCACACAUGGCUGGGUGGGUGGCUUCAGGCGUCUUUGUGCAUCCGGUGCAGGCAAAGCUCAUUCAUGUUUUACUGGACUCCCACAUACACGCACAUGUGGAUACGAAGUGUGGAGGGAGCAGAAUGAAGAGUGAACAUGGGUGAAAGCGCACAUGCCCAUACUCUUACUCCAAGACUACACACAGACAGAAGUGUAACACACAAAUGUUUGGGCCAUUUUGUGCACAUUUGAAUACAAUAGAAAAAAUGCUAGAAGUGGACAGUUUUGAUUUUAUUGAGCGUUCCAUCAGCAUGUCGAUGUUGAAACCACAGAGAUGUUGGGAAGUGGGUUUGUAGGUUAUUGCAUUAACAAUAAACAAGUGCAUUUCAAAUGGAUUUACCCUCAUAAAGAGAUGUAAAAUUUGUUUUCUCUUCUUUCUUCUUGAACAUACACACCUUCACUAUUUAUUCUUAUCAACACAUCAAAAUAUUUUAGAGCACUUUACAAAUCUCAGGCUGCACUUCCUAAAAUUCCACUCAUGCAGUUAAAAACACUCAUUACAUUUCACCGCUGCUAUGUCACUUCCUGUCAAAGCGCUACCAACUGCUCCACACACACUUCUCCAAUUUUUGACAAACAUGAAUACAACACAAAAGCUCCAAAAAAAAAAAGCAUCCCCUAAACACUCUAAUACACUCUGAUACACUAAAACACACACAAGCCUGCCUGUGGUUCCAGCUGCUACUGAUUUACUAUAUUUUGAAAAAAUGCAGAGAGAAAAAGAAGAGAGAGGAGAGUGCGUGAAAGAGAAAGAGAGGAGGGAGAAAACAGAGAGAAAGAGAGCUCUUGAAUGACUUAAUAACAGUUUCCGCUGGCGGUGCUUCCACUGCUAUUUCUGGCGGCAUGAUCAGAGAGGAGAGAGCAGCACGCAGAAGGAAACACACUGUUUCAGAGCUCUCCACUUCCACCAGCCAUCCUUCCAUCUCUCAACCCUCUGCAUUACUCUGCACUCCAUUCAUCCCUCCCUUUUCCAUUCAUUCCUUUCUUCAUGCUCACUCAUGCUCGACUGUC